rnacentral:rRNA from 1 species
CUGCAUGAAGUCGGAAUUGCUAGUAAUCGCGGAUCAGCAUGCCGCGGUGAAUACGUUCCCGGGCCUUGUACACACCGCCCGUCACACCAUGGGAGCCGGUAAUACCCGAAGUCAGUAGUCCAACCUCGUGAGGACGCUGCCGAAGGUAGGAUUGGCGACUGGGUGAAGUCGUAACAAGGUAUC